CGGCGGCUCGAGUGGUGGCCACUAUUAUUGGGCUUAAAGCGUCCGUAGCUGGACCGAUAAGUCUCUUGGGAAAUCCGCCGGCUUAACCGGCGGGCGUCCAGGAGAUACUGUUGGUCUAGGGACCGGGAGAGGUGAGAGGUACUCCGGGGGUAGGAGUGAAAUCCUGUAAUCCCCGGGGGACCACCGAUGGCGAAGGCAUCUCACCAGAACGGCUCCGACAGUGAGGGACAAAAGCUGGGGGAGCGAACCGGAUUAGAUACCCGAGUAGUCC
rnacentral:rRNA from 1 species